rnacentral:rRNA from 1 species
AUUAGGAAUCUUGUGCAAUGGGCGAAAGCCUGACACAGCGACGCCGCGUGAGGGAGGAAGUCCUUCGGGAUGUAAACCUCUUUUAUCAGGGAAGAAACAAAUGACGGUACCUGAUGAAUAAGCUCCGGCUAACUACGUGCCAGCAGCCGCGGUAAUACGUAGGGAGCGAGCGUUGUCCGAAGUUACUGGGCGUAAAGCGCGCGUAGGCGGGUUAGUAAGUCGGAGGUGAAAGGCUUGGGCUUAACCGAAGCAGUGCCUCCGAUACUGCUAGUCUUGAGGGCGGUAGGGAGAAGUGGAAUGGCUGGUGUAGCGGUGAAAUGCGUAGAUAUCAGUCGGAACACCGGUGGCGAAGGCGGCUUCUUGGGCCGUUCCUGACGCUGAGGCGCGAAAGCCAGGGGAGCGAACGG